UUCCUGAAUGAUAAAAUAAAAUGUUCUUUCAACAAAAUUAGUCACAACUAAAUAUAGAAAAGAUAACACAUUGCUUGUGUUUACUUACAGGUUCACCCUAAAUUCCACUAUAAACAGGCUCAUGACCCGGGCACAGACACUUCCUGUGUGGCUUUUUCCUAUGAUGGUAAUGUCCUUGCCUCUCGUGGAGGUGAUGAUACAUUAAAAUUAUGGGAUGUCCGGCAAUUUAAUAAACCAUUAUUUUCAGCCUCAGACCUUCCUACCUUGUUCCCAAUGACCGACUGCUGUUUCAGCCCUGAUGAUAAACUCAUAGUUACUGGUACCUCUGUUCAAAGGGGAUGUGGCAGUGGCAAACUUGUCUUCUUUGAGCGCAGGACAUUCCAAAGGGUGUAUGAAAUCCACAUCACA